UUUUUUUUUUUUUUUUUUUUUUUGUGGUGGAUAACUGAAUAAAAAUGUAGAAAAAAAGGAAGGCAAAUGGAUAGGCUGUUGGUUUUGACAUGCUGCUGUUCUGUUGAGCCUUCCAUUGACCUUUAUACCGCAGGCAGACUUGGCUUUUGAUAGCUCCGUAUCAGUAUGUUUUCCAAAUUGCUUCAUUUGAUUUUGUACCAGAGAGCUUAUAAUUUGGUCAGUGUACCAAAAUUCCGUGGUACAGUCAAUCUCAUUUAAAUAUAUUUUCUUUAAUCAAGCUCAUCUUCAAGAUGUCUCUCUUAAUCAGGGAAAUCAGUGUAACUGAUUUUAUGAGCCAUGUCAUAUGUUGUGGAGAGGACUUGCAUGUAUUUGUGUGUACUAGACUGAGAACUCUCCCAGGAUUUCUCUCUGGCAUGUCUUCUACACUUAUUGGGACUGGCUAGGCAGACAGUUUUAUGGUGAUAGCUUUAUAUGAAGACAGUGUAGUGAUAUCUUCGAAUAAAAUGUUCUUACUUGUGAAUUUUAGUUAGGACAGUCAGCUAUGAGAUCACACCAGAGAGGCAACGGGGAGCAGCACAUGCUUGCUGUACCGCAGGUUUCUCAGUGACGCGGAAGGCAAGGAAUGUCAGAGCAAGGACAUGUAGUUCAGUCAGCACAAAAUGAAGCACUCUCCAUGCUCUGGAAUUCAGCCGAUGGUCCAAGAGUCUUCAAAUAUUAAGAAUCAUGCAGCGCAGGUUAAUCUUCUGAAGUAUUGCAUGGUGACAGGAAUUUUGGGUUUUCAGUUGCAGGUGGAGUUAAGUGAUUGAUAUUACCAAUGGUUGCUCAGUCUUUCAAAGUAAGAUAUACAGGUGUGUAGGACACAUCACCUCUGCGCUGCUGCCUGACCCUAUGGGGUGACACGGUCAGCUCCCUAGAGGGCCCAUGUUGUGUGCAUCCAUCAUUCUUCUCAUGGCAGUGGUCUAUGCCAUGUGGGAGAAGGGCAGCCAGUUUUCUUUUACUCUCUACUUCUAAGAUCACAGAAACAACAACAAAAAUCUUUUCUCUCUCUUUUUUUUUUUCUGAGAAGGAGGAGGUUUAGCUGUCAUAUACAAAGCUUGAGUUAUUUUCUAGAAAACUGUAUUCACAAACAUGUUGAGAGACCACCUGGUCUUUUCCUUUUUUUUUUUUCCCCUUUGCUUUCUGUUGUCCUCUACUUCUGGCAAUGGUCUGCUCUUACAUAGACCUUUGCAGAAGAAGGCUUCGAAGAGGCUUCUAUUUUAACAGGUAGAGAGCACCUCUUGCUAGUUUCCAAGCAUUUUUCACCUGUGAUGGGAUGGCCCUCAGUCCUCAGUUUUUCUUACCAUCUCAGUCCAUCUUAUUAUUUAGAAAGUGUGUCAAUUUGGGGCAAAUAGAGGACAUGAAAGGACAAGGCAACUACUAUUCUGGGAAUACAUGUAUCUCUUGAUGAGUUUUCUAAGAACAAAUAAGGUUAUUUAACAAGUGAAAACAUAAAAAAAAAUUAGGUGGUAAGAUGCUAUCUCCCCCUGAAAGAAUUUUUCAGUCGAGAUUUGAGUUGAGGUUGACUAUAUAAGGCAAAAGAUUUAAAGUCCGAGGGUAGUCAUACAUCCUGUGCAUCAUAGUCUUUUAUUCUAGCUAACGAGCCUACUGUUGGGGAGAUUAAUGGAGAAUGAACUUUCUGUUCAAAGAGUUUUCUUAAAAACUGUUUGUGAUUCUCCAGAAAGAGCAACUGGAAAGAAUGAGGAGGAGCCCUGAUGAACUGAGUUGCUCCAUGUUGAUAUCUGCUCUUUCCUUAUCUGUCACCAUCCUGCAUUAAUGAGGUUACUGGGAAGGCAAAAAUAAACUUCUCGAGAAUGGAGUUGAAAGAAGGAACAU
rnacentral:lncRNA from 1 species